UGCGCGACUACCUGCAGUCGAACGGUAACAGGAAGCAGCUUGCUGCUUUGCUGACGAGUGGCGGACGGGUGAGUAAUGUCUGGGAAACUGCCCGAUGGAGGGGGAUAACUACUGGAAACGGUAGCUAAUACCGCAUAACGUCGCAAGACCAAAGAGGGGGACCUUCGGGCCUCUUGCCAUCGGAUGUGCCCAGAUGGGAUUAGCUAGUAGGUGGGGUAACGGCUCACCUAGGCGACGAUCCCUAGCUGGUCUGAGAGGAUGACCAGCCACACUGGAACUGAGACACGGUCCAGACUCCUACGGGAGGCAGCAGUGGGGAAUAUUGCACAAUGGGCGCAAGCCUGAUGCAGCCAUGCCGCGUGUAUGAAGAAGGCCUUCGGGUUGUAAAGUACUUUCAGCGGGGAGGAAGGGAGUAAAGUUAAUACCUUUGCUCAUUGACGUUACCCGCAGAAGAAGCACCGGCUAACUCCGUGCCAGCAGCCGCGGUAAUACGGAGGGUGCAAGCGUUAAUCGGAAUUACUGGGCGUAAAGCGCACGCAGGCGGUUUGUUAAGUCAGAUGUGAAAUCCCCGGGCUCAACCUGGGAACUGCAUCUGAUACU
rnacentral:rRNA from 1 species